CUACCUUCUCCUAUUCAUGCUCCUCUCCUCUACUCUUCCUGAAUAAUCCAGUCCUAAAGCCAUUGAGUGAGGCUGACCAAGGUGGACAUCUUCUCCAGCUGGGGGGCGGGGGGCUGGAAGAGCUGCAGUGUCCAUAUGAGGGGUAUAGGAGUCAGAGAAUGGUGAGGAAAGCAUCCACACAGACAGGACAGGUGAGGAUGUCAAGGGAUGGCCAAGAACAGGAAGUAAGAACCUGAGCCUGGAGCAGCAGAGCAGCCCAAUGAGGAGGUGUGUGCACGGUCUAUGGCAAGGAUGGGAGGUUGUUUACACAUAGGGAGAGGAACAAGUUAGAAAAUACAGCAUGGCAAUGGGAGUCGGGUUUCUCCCUUUUAGAGAGUCACAAAUAUGGAAAGGAAGAGAUCUAGACUGGACUUCUUUGUGUUGGAUUAGAACUACAUAUAUUGUGAAAAUGUAUGGUUUUCAAUAUACAGCAGAUCCCAAAAUGCAGUUGUAGUUUUAAGCUUUG
rnacentral:lncRNA from 10 species